ensembl:lncRNA
AUGACCCUUGGGAUGCACAUGCUGGUGAUGGUGACCAGUCGGAGAAAGAUGAGCCCUCUGAGAACUCCUCCUCUGCAUUCCUCACCAUCACACUCUUCGGCCUUGAAAGACACCCCAGAUGACUUCAAGAGUUCAUCAAAUAUGUCAGAAUCCACUUCCACAUUUGAAGAAUCCUUCAGGCUCAAGGAAGCUGAACCUGGCAAACUGAAUUUUGCCAGCACUGAAACUCAAUAUACUGUACAUAAGGAAGAUCUGCAGGGGACACACCCACAUUAAAGAACAAAGCUGAUGAACUACUACGAUAUCAGAGUGAAUAGAAAAGCUCACUGUAAUCUAAUUGAAAAACAUUGGAAAACCCUGAUGCACAAAAAAAUACAGUCUAUUUAGCCUACCUGCUUGUAAAAAUUGAGAGGAGUUGUACUCGUCCUCCACCUGUGGUACCCUCAGCAGAACUCUGGUCAACACAGUGUCUUCAUUUCAAGAAGGAAGAUUAUAAAAAGGCUGCUCGACAGAGAAAGGGUCAAAGGUCAGAGUACUCUCGCCUGACAGUAAGAAGCUCUGCUUGAGUUUAUGGUGGACAUGAGGAACUUCCUGUGGGGAGUUUGCAUGCUUACCUACGUGCAGGAAAUGUGGUUUAUUGGCACAGUAAAAAUAAACAUGUGAGGUUAAAUGGUGUCCCUAAUCUGCCUCUCGGCGUCAGAGAUCUGCAAAAAUUUCAAUGAUCAACCACAGUAUUACAUUAUUUGAACAACAGCAACAAAUUUAAUGGAAAUGACUUCCAUAUGUUUCUCAUUUCAGUCAGAAUGUUGUUAUUUAUAGUGAAAAUGAUCCCAUUAUUUAAAAAAUUAUGGUUCAAAUUUCUUUUUAAAGACCAUCGUCUUUGAAUAUUCAACUUAAGAGGAAGAAGAAUGAUAAGAGUAAUUAUAAUCAUGUUAUAAACAAGUGGUUCACGAUUUUUAUUUAAUUUGAAUACUUUGUGAAUACCUGGAUAUGGCAAAAGGAAAUGUUUCUCCUUUUUAUUCCAGGAAAACGAGCGUUUGUGUGUCUGUGUGUGUUACACUACAUUACAUACAGUGAAUGAAUAACUUUACAAAAUUGCAAAGAGCAUGCACACAUUCAUGUGCCAUGCAACAUUUAGUAGUAGUAACAGUAAUACACCAGUAAGGAAAAGGAAGGAAGAGAAUGAUUAAAGUGCAGAAAGUGUGGUUUCCAACCUGUUGAGUGAGCAGCUCACCUGAGACCACCGACACCAUUAACAGUCCCAGAAACGGCCACAUGUUGCUCCUGAGUUCAUCUGGUUCUGAUCCGGACCGCUGAUCAACGAAUUCCUGCUGCGAGUCUGAGAAACGAGGAUCUUUGUGGAGCGCAGUGUGUGUGACUGCUGGCCAGGCCCGCUCUGCAGGUGACUGCUCCUCCCGUCAAUGGGACAAGAAAACGACGCAGGAGUUUAAAGUCCUCCCACCCGGAAGAAGAGCGUCAAGCCAUGCCUGCUUAUGGAGAACAACACGGGUUUAUCAGUGACAAUAAAAAGUGUCACAUCUAAAAGCAGAUUUGAUGCCCUAACUUGAAAUGGUACUUUCCUAACUGGUAAUUUCCAUUUCUCAGCUGCAUGAAUGCAGAUAGAAAACAGGAGUGACACUGAUGUUAAGACUGAUAUUUGACUUGCCCACCCCCCCCCAUGUGAAUUCCAGUAACUGGGAUUUUCCCAUCUGCUGACUUGACUUCCUCAUAGUUCUCUGAAGCUUCUGGGUGAUGGGCGCCAUCUAAUGA